rnacentral:lncRNA from 1 species
UAGUCAUACUCACGCUUGAGUCGACAUAACACAUACUAACCUUAGCAGAUUGUCAAUGCCCAAUUGGCAAUCCUAUGGCUAGGAAUGUUUUAGGAAUGAACAUAAGAGAAAGGUCUCGUUAAUCUAACUUACUUAAAUCACUUGUCUCUUAGAUCAAAUACACUCCUUGGAUUCCCUUAUUGCUUAAACACAUGAUACAAUAAAUAGUG